rnacentral:rRNA from 1 species
CAGCAGUUCAAGUUGCAUCCCUUUUUAUUGGGUCUAAAACAUCCGUAGCUUGCCGUUUAAGUCUCUUGUGAAAUCCUACGUCUUAAGCGUAGGGCUUGCAGGAGAUACUGUAUGGCUAGAGAUCGGUAGACGUAAGGAGUACGCCGGAGGUAGUGGUAAAAUACGUUAAUCUUCGGUGGACUAACAAUCAGCGAAGGCACCUUACGAGGACGAAUCUGACAGUGAGGGAUGAAAGCUGGGGGAGCAAACCGGAUUAGAUACCCGAGUAGUCC